GUGUCCGAUGCGAUUUGAUUGCGGACGGAUUCGGGUUUGAGCCGGGAAUCUGGAAAAAAGCGAGUGAUAAUUGGUGAACGUGAGCGACGGGCGGUGAGUCUGACUCGCCUCGUGGAUUAGUCGAAGAAAAAACAUGCGUUUUAAACGGUGUGAUUGAAUUUUUUUAAUUUCGCUCGUGGGAAUUCCACUUUCAAAUCCUCGAGGAAUAAAAUCUUGAUAUUCAGUGAAAAUUGACUGUUCCCGCGCACCCGACGUAUUUAUCAUCUGAAUGCGUUCGUUUUAUUUUUUAGAAGUGUGAAGUUAAACGUGUGAUAAAUUUUGAAUUCUUCACGUCCGACGCCAGGAUAUCUAAAAAAAAAAAUAAAAUAAAAAAUUUAUUCGCCGAAUUUAAGUAAGAACUUCUGAUUUUUCCCAGUACAUUUCAGUGUUUUUGUCUAGUUAUUGAGACCGAUUAAAAAUUGUAUUCGAUUGAUUUGAAUUUUUCGAGUUUUAUUUUGAUUUGUUUUGAAUGACGGGUUUGCUCCUUGUGUAUUUUAUUCUUACUAAAUUCGUACCGUCUUUGACUUUCGACCAUUGAAAUUGUAAUCCUUUUAACUUAUUCCAACUCGAAAACAUAGUGAAUAGACAGAUUGAGUGUAGGAAUUUAUGGUGCAAAAUGCGAUUGGAUGUAUCUGAAUCGACACAUCGGAAGCGGAAUAGUUGGUGGCCGCACCCAUCUCCGGGCGCGUAAGGAUCGGGGGAAAAUGUAAUCCGUGUCGGUGGUUGCGUCAGUGCGUGUGGAUGAAGGCGUUGGUGGUUGCGUUGUCUCAUUUUUCGGGCGCGAAUAUGUGAGUGAGUGACGUGCCUUGUUCCACGGGUCAACAUGGUUGUCGCUGCAUCCACCGUUUGGUGCCUGAUGUGCGCAACUUUGCUUCAUCUCUCUUCCGUCGCUGCUCGCCGCCACAAGCAGUCCGAACUCGAUAUUCCAAGUACGUAAGCAGCUUUCUCUUUGAAACUAUCAUUUCGUUCUAUUAUAAUCAAAGGAUUGGU
rnacentral:lncRNA from 1 species